GGCGCAAGCCUGAUGGAGCAACACCGCGUGAGUGAAGAAGGGUUUCGGCUCGUAAAGCUCUGUUGUUGGAGAAGAACGUGCGUGAGAGUAACUGUUCACGCAGUGACGGUAUCCAACCAGAAAGUCACGGCUAACUACGUGCCAGCAGCCGCGGUAAUACGUAGGUGGCAAGCGUUAUCCGGAUUUAUUGGGCGUAAAGCGAGCGCAGGCGGUUGCUUAGGUCUGAUGUGAAAGCCUUCGGCUUAACCGAAGAAGGGCAUCGGAAACCGGGCGACUUGAGUGCAGAAGAGGACAGUGGAACUCCAUGUGUAGCGGUGGAAUGCGUAGAUAUAUGGAAGAACACCAGUGGCGAAGGCGGCUGUCUGGUCUGCAACUGACGCUGAGGCUCGAAAGCAUGGGUAGCGAACAGGAUUAGAUACCCUGGUAGUCCAUGCCGUAAACGAUGAGUGCUAGGUGUUGGAGGGUUUCCGCCCUUCAGUGCCGGAGCUAACGCAUUAAGCACUCCGCCUGGGGAGUACGACCGCAAGGUUGAAACUCAAAGGAAUUGACGGGGGCCCGCACAAGCGGUGGAGCAUGUGGUUUAAUUCGAAGCUACGCGAAGAACCUUACCAGGUCUUGACAUCUUGCGCUAACCUAAGAGAUUAGGCGU
rnacentral:rRNA from 2 species